rnacentral:lncRNA from 1 species
GUAUAGAGACAUAUUACCAUGGGUUAUAGUGGGCUGUGUGUUAGGUAUAGAGACAUAUUACCAUGGGUUAUAGUGGGCUGUGUGUUGGGUAUAGAGACAUAUUACCAUGGGUUAUAGUGGGCUGUGUGUUAGGUAUAGAGACAUAUUACCAUGGGUUAUAGUGGGCUGUGUGUUGGGUAUAGAGACAUAUUACCAUGGGUUAUAGUGGGCUGUGUGUUAGGUAUAGAGACAUAUUACCAUGGGUUAUAGUGGGCUGUGUGUCAGGUAUAGAGACAUAUUACCAUGGGUUAUAGUGGGCUGUGUGUUGGGUAUAGAGCCAUAUUACCAUGGGUUAUAGUGGGCUAUGUGUUAGGUAUAGAGACAUAUUAACAUGGGUUAUAGUAGGCUGUGUGUCGGGUAUAGAGACGUAUUACCAUCGGUUAUAGUGGGCUGUGUGUUGGGUAUAGAGACAUAUUACCAUGGGUUAUAGUGGGCUGUGUGUUCGGUAUAGAGACAUAUUACCAUGGGUUAUAGUGGGCUGUGUGUUGUGUAUAGAGUCAUAUUACCAUGGGUUAUAGUGGUCUGUGUGUCAGGUAUAGAGACAUAUUACCAUGGGUUAUAGUGGGCUGUGUGUCAGGUAUAGAGACAUAUUACCAUGGGUUAUAGUAGGCUGUGUGUUGGGUAUAGAGACAUAUUACCAUGGGUUAUAGUGGGCUGUGUGUCGGGUAUAGAGACGUAUUACCAUGGGUUAUAGUGGGCUGUGUGUUGGGUAUAGAGACAUAUUACCAUGGGUUAUAGUGGGCUGUGUGUUGGGUAUAGAGACAUAUUACCAUGGGUUAUAGUGGGCUGUGUGUUGGGUAUAGAGACAUAUUACCAUGGGUUAUAGUGGGCUGUGUGUCGGGUAUAGUGACAUAUUACCAUGGGUUAUAGUGGGCUGUGUAUUGGGUAUAGAGACAUAUUACCAUGGGUUAUAGUGGGCUGUGUGUUGGGUAUAGAGACAUAUUACCAUGGGUUAUAGUGGGCUAUGUGUUAGGUAUAGAGACAUAUUACCAUGGGUUAUAGUUGGCUGUGUGUUAGGUAUAGAGACAUAUUACCAUGGGUUAUAGUGGGCUGUGUGUCGGGUAUAGAGACAUAUUACCAUGGGUUAUUGUGGGCUGUGUGUUAGGUAUAGAGACAUAUUACCAUGGGUUAUAGUGGGCUGUGUGUUGGGUAUAGAGACAUAUUACCAUGGGUUAUAGUGGGCUGUGUGUCAGGUAUAGAGACAUAUUACCAUGGGUUAUAGUGGGCUGUGUGUCGGGUAUAGAGACAUAUUACCAUGGGGUAUAGUGAGCUGUGUGUUGGGUAUAGAGACAUAUUACCAUGGGUUAUAGUGGGCUGUGUGUUAGGUAUAGAGACAUAUUACCAUGGGUAAUAGUGAGCUGUGUGUUAGGUAUAGAGACAUAUUACCAUGGGUUAUAGUGGGCUGUGUGUUAAGUAUAGAGACAUAUUACCAUGGCUUAUAGUGGGCUGUGUGUUGGGUAUAGAGACAUAUUACCAAGGGUUAUAGUGGGCUGUGUGUCAGGUAUAGAGACAUAUUACCAUGGGUUAUAGUGGGCUGUGUGUCGGGUAUAGAGACAUAUUACCAUGGGUUAUAGUGGGCUGUGUGUUAGGUAUAGAGACAUAUUACCAUGGGUUAUAGUGGGCUGUGUGUUGGGUAUAGAGACAUAUUACCAUGGGUUAUAGUGGGCUGUGUGUCAGGUAUAGAGACAUAUUACCAUGGGUUAUAGUGGGCUGUGUGUCGGGUAUAGAGACAUAUUACCAUGGGUUAUAGUGAGCUGUGUGUUGGGUAUAGAGACAUAUUACCAUGGGUUAUAGUGGGCUGUGUGUUAGGUAUAGAGACAUAUUACCAUGGGUAAUAGUGAGCUGUGUGUUAGGUAUAGAGACAUACUACCAUGGGUUAUAGUGGGCUGUGUGUUAAUUAUAGAGACAUAUUACCAUGGGUUAUAGUGGGCUGUGUGUCGGGUAUAAAGACAUAUUACCAUGGGUUAUAGUGGGCUGUGUGUUAGGUAUAGAGACAUAUUACCAUGGGUUAUAGUGGGCUGUGUGUUAGGUAUAGAGACAUAUUACCAUGGGUUAUAGUGGGCUGUGUGUUAGGUAUAGAGACAUAUUACCAUGGGUUAUAGUGGGCUGUGUGUUGGGUAUAGAGACAUAUUACCAUGGGUUAUAGUGGGCUGUGUGUUAGGUAUAGAGACAUACUAACAUGGGUUAUAGUGAGCUGUGUGUUGGGUAUAGAGACAUAUUACCAUGAGUUAUAGUGGGCUGUGUGUUGGGUAUAGAGACAUAUUACCAUGGGUUAUAGUGGGCUGUGUGUUAGGUAUAGAGACAUAUUACCAUGGGUUAUAGUGGGCUGUGUUAAGUAUAGAGACAUAUUAACAUGGGUUAUAGUGGGCUGUGUGUUGGGUAUAGAGACGUAUUACCAUGGGUUAUAGUGGGCUUUGUGUUGGGUAUAGAGACAUAUUACCAUGGGUUAUAGUGGGCUGUGUGUCAGGUAUAGAGACAUAUUACCAUGGGUUAUAGUGGGCUGUGUGUCGGGUAUAGAGACAUAUUACCAUGGGUUAUAGUGGGCUGUGUGUUGGGUAUAGAGACAUAUUACCAUGGGUUAUAGUGGGCUGUGUGUUAGGUAUAGAGACAUAUUACCAUGGGUUAUAGUGGGCUGUGUGUUGGGUAUA